rnacentral:rRNA from 1 species
UACGUAGGGUGCGAGCGUUGUCCGGAAUUACUGGGCGUAAAGAGCUCGUAGGUGGUUUGUCGCGUUGUUCGUGAAAACUCACAACUCAAUUGUGGGCGUGCGGGCGAUACGGGCAGACUGGAGUACUGCAGGGGAGACUGGAAUUCCUGGUGUAGCGGUGGAAUGCGCAGAUAUCAGGAGGAACACCGGUGGCGAAGGCGGGUCUCUGGACAGUUCCGUGACGCUGAGGCACGAAGGUCAGGGGAGCAAACGGG